rnacentral:rRNA from 1 species
GACAGAGGCCUCGAGCGUUAUUCGGAAUCACUGGGCUUACAGAGUUCGUAGGCGGUCUGGAAAGUUGGGUGUGAAAUCCCUCGGCUCAACCGAGGAACUGCGCUUGAAACUACCAGACUCGAGGGAGAUAGAGGAAAGCGGAACUGAUGGUGGAGCGGUGAAAUGCGUUGAUAUCAUCAGGAACACCGGUGGCGAAGGCGGCUUUCUGGGUCUUACCUGACGCUGAGGAACGAAAGCCAGGGGAGCGAACGGG